CCCGCCUUCUUGGCGUUUACUGGUGGUGUGAGGCUUUCACAUUUAAAAUGUACCGGUCGGUCUUUCAUUUCAGUUCCUUGAUACCACCCUCUUGUACUGCCUCUCCAUGCAGACAGGCAGACACAUGCAUGAUGGAGCCCGCACAGUACUGAUAAUCUCGGUGGCCUCAUCCAUCCUUCAGUCCAGGUUACUGACUGCUUCUGACAAACCUGCCUGCUGUUGCUGUGCCUAAGUAUUUUGACAAGGUCAUUAACAGCCGAGGCUAUGGGAUUACCUUCUGCUUGAGACUGAGCAGGUGUCGGGUUGUUUCUUCCUUGACCAAUUGUGAAGAUACCUGAGUAAUGUACUCAUCACAUUAGACUCAGAAGUACAAUCUAGAAAGAGAAUCCACCAAGGUGAAAAUCCCUCGGCUGGUGGAGAGUGCAGAUGAAAACCUUGCCAAUGCAUCCAUGACUGGCUUCUGCCUCAGAAGUGUAGGUUUACCUGAGAGUCUCCAACAUUCGUGUCUUAAUUGAGUUUUGCUGAAUCCUGCUUGUGAUUGCAGAGAAGAGAUAGAACUAAUAGUGUAAGACAGGUUGGACAGGCAAUAUGACAUGUGCAAUGCGACUCCACAAUCCACUGAAUUUGUCAAUAUCCAGGAUAUUAUAUUGCCCGGUCUGACUGGAGAUAGAAAAUUUUGUCACAAGAAAAUCAUAGACUCUUUCUUCCAGAAGACCAAAGUUUAAAUUUGGGUCUAAUUUUUCCUCAUCCACUAAAAUUGUGAUUAAGAGGGAUACAUCCUUGAAGGCUGCAUUUUCAUGAUCACAAUAUUUGUAGAAAAGAAGAGUAGAUGGGGGUGGCAGAUCUUGGAAGUGAUGAAUAACAGCUGAUUUUCCACCCGAACCAAACCAAGACAUUAGUUGAUUAUCUAGAUCUAGCUUCACUUCAUCACUGUUUAAAAACUUUUUACUCGAUCCUUCAAUUUCCAGAAACCUGGAAUUGAAAGCUGAAGCGUAAGCUCCAGCGAUUCUGCCUGUGAGGCAAUGCAUGGUUUCAUUUGCAUUCCAAGCAGCUGCAAACAUUAAAAUGG